CAGAGGACCCCCAGAGGAUCCUGAGAGAAUGGGGCCUACGUGCCUAGCACUGACGUCGCAGUGGAGGAUAUCAUGAGGUUGCUGUGCUCCGUCUCUCAGAAGAAGAAGAUUAAGGCGGCCUUCAAGUACUCCUGGUUGGGUGGCCUAGUUACUGGGACUGUGGCCGUUGUGGGUGGUUUAGUGGGUGGUCCAAAAGGAAUAGCUAUUGGGGGAGCUGUCGGGGGCUUGUUAGGUGCAUGGAUGACGAGUGGAAAGUUUAAGCCAGUUCCUCAGAUCAUAAUGGAGCUACCGGCUGACGAACAGGAGAGGCUCUUUAAUCAAUACCAUUGCCAUCCUUAGGGACCUGUCCUGGACGAGUGUUGAGCAGCUGACCAUGCUGGUCAUGGGCAAUAAGACCCUCAGGAGCAGCUGGUGGAUAUGCUGAAUAACUAUUUCAUCAAGGAGCUGGGAUCAGAAAUGAAGUAGGACAAGCAGGCCUCUGCCCUGGGAAGCAGAGUCCAUUUGGAUGAUUUCAAAUUUGUUAUGGUUGAUGUAUAAUUGAUUUGCAAUAUCGUGGUUUUUUGUAGGGUAUAGCAAAGAUCAUUUACUUUUUCUGCAUUGAUGGAUGACCAUCCUGGGAGUGCAGUGAUACCAGGAGUAAAAGAUCAUUUAUCCUUUUUAUUCUUACUCACUAAUCACAUCCUUUGAAAAAUUCUCAAAAUUAAUCAGAAAGAUAAAUAGAACUCAGGGAGUGGACAGAGUAGGGAGGAAACCUGCAGAAUAUUUCUAGCUCAGGGAUUCUUUGAUUCUAACAUAAUUGACUAAAUGGCAGAAUUCAUAUAAUAUAGGCAUAAUAUACUGUAAACUAAUAAAUGAAAAUGUAAGGCAAAUUAGAGAUAACAUUCAAGGAAGCUUGCAGUUUAAUCCUUUCUUGGUUCCUUCUGAUUUAUCUCAAAAUGUCUAUUUCUUCUCCAUCCAACAAUACAGUAAGUUUUAGGUGGGAGCCUCAUGUUUUACUCAUAUUUGUAUUUGCAUCUAUGUUUAGCCCAGUGCUCCAUCUGUCAUAUCAGUAAAUAAACAUUGAGCCAAACUCACUUUCUACUUA